rnacentral:rRNA from 1 species
UACGUAGGGUGCAAGCGUUAAUCGGAAUUACUGGGCGUAAAGCGUGCGCAGGCGGUUUUGUAAGUCAGAUGUGAAAUCCCCGGGCUUAACCUGGGAACUGCGUUUGAAACUACAAGGCUAGAGUGUGGCAGAGGGGGGUGGAAUUCCACGUGUAGCAGUGAAAUGCGUAGAGAUGUGGAGGAACACCGAUGGCGAAGGCAGCCCCCUGGGUUAACACUGACUCUCAGGCACGAAAGCGUGGGGAGCAAACAGG